UGGGGAAUAUUGGACAAUGGGCGAAAGCCUGAUCCAGCCAUGCCGCGUGUGUGAAGAAGGUCUUCGGAUUGUAAAGCACUUUAAGUUGGGAGGAAGGGCAUUAACCUAAUACGUUAGUGUUUUGACGUUACCGACAGAAUAAGCACCGGCUAACUCUGUGCCAGCAGCCGCGGUAAUACAGAGGGGGCAAGCGUUAGUCGGAAUUACGGGGCGUAAAGCGCGCGUAGGUGGUUUGUUAAGUUGGAUGUGAAAUCCCCGGGCUCAACCUGGGAACUGCAUUCAAAACUGACUGACUAGAGUAUGGUAGAGGGUGGUGGAAUUUCCUGUGUAGCGGUGAAAUGCGUAGAUAUAGGAAGGAACACCAGUGGCGAAGGCGACCACCUGGACUAAUACUGACACUGAGGUGCGAAAGCGUGGGGAGCAAACA
rnacentral:rRNA from 1 species